rnacentral:rRNA from 1 species
AUUGAACGCUGGCGGCAUGCCUAACACAUGCCAGUCGAACGGCAGCGCGGGGGCAACCCUGGCGGCGAGUGGCGGACGGGUGAGGAAUGCAUAGGAAUCUGCCCGGUUGUGGGGGAUAACGUAGGGAAACUUACGCUAAUACCGCAUACGACCUUCGGGUGAAAGUGGGGGACCUUCGGGCCUCACGCGAUCGGAUGAGCCUAUGCCCGAUUAGCUAGUUGGCGGGGUAAGAGCCCACCAAGGCGACGAUCGGUAGCUGGUCUGAGAGGAUGAUCAGCCACACUGGGACUGAGACACGGCCCAGACUCCUACGGGAGGCAGCAGUGGGGAAUAUUGGACAAUGGGCGCAAGCCUGAUCCAGCAAUGCCGCGUGUGUGAAGAAGGCCUUCGGGUUGUAAAGCACUUUUGUUCGGGAAGAAAUCCGUGUGGUUAAUACCCGUACGGGAUGACGGUACCGAAAGAAUAAGCACCGGCUAACUUCGUG